CUCUGAGCUCCUCCAUGGUCACUGAGCUCCUCUAUUGGUCACUCUGAGCUCCUCUAUGGUCACUCUGAGCUCCUCCAUGGUCACUCAGAGCUCACCUGAAGCUGAAGAGCUCUGCAUUGCAGACUCGUGUUCCAUGAUGUUUAUUAUAAUGUCAGACUGGCAGGCUCCAUCUUCAUCUUCAUCGUGGUCCUGGUUCAGAUAUUGUGACAGUAUGAGUUCCACCCUGCCGCUCGCUCCUCUAUCUUAACACAUUGUUUACAUAUGUACAUUGUUCUUGUAAUGGUGAUGCACCUUCUGUAUAUACUUUGACAUAAUGAGAGAUUUAUUGUGAAAUAAAGUCUUAAUCUGUCAUUCA